rnacentral:misc_RNA from 1 species
AUACAGAUUUUGAAGCGAUACGAAAGAGCGAACAAGGAAGUAUAGACGUGUAUACAGAUUUUGAAGCGAUACGAAAGAGAUUUUGAUCUCUUACCAUGAACAUCACUGGCACACUUUUCAUUUUUAUAGCAAUGAUAGCAGUAUUUUGUAGGGCAAACCAAUCAGUAACAUGGUUUAAAGCACAAACAUUCUGCAGAAACAAAAACUUGACACUAACUUUGAGGAAAAAUUCGUCCAAAAACUUUUAUUGGACAGGGUUUUACAAAAAAACCUCUCAGUGGAUCAAAAUAAUUGGUUGUUACAGUUCGUCAUUAAUACAACAUUCUAAUUCAAAAAGUACUAACUUUUUGAUAUCAUCUCCUCCUUUGUGCCAAGAAUAUUGUCUUCAGGAGAAAAUUUAUAAGUUUGCUGUUCAGCAAAAUAGAUGCGUUUGUCUAUCUAAUGGAUUCAAUGACAAUGAAGGGCAGCUACCUGCAUCAAAUUGCCGUUUUGUGUGUGACAAUUGUACUCUGCUGACAAAUGAAUGUGGUGGGGAUUCGGCAUUCAAUGUCUUUUAUACAGAUUCAAAGGAUUUGACAAUUUCAAGUCAAUGCCUUUCUUUACAAUGCCAACAGGACCCCAGAUUUGUUGACAUUUACUGCGAACAGUUCCUGCCUUCAAUAUGCAAUAUCAAGACACAGGGUAGCAUUUUUAUAAGUAACCAGGUCAGUAAUAAUUGGAGAGAAGGAAUGGAAUUUUGUUCAAAAACGCCCAAUGGUUAUUAUCUGGGAAACAUAAACUUGUCAGAUGUAAAUUCAUCUUGCACAGGUUUGAAACAUAGCGGCCCAGGUUGGAUCGGGGUAAUCAAAGAGAAUUUUGUGAAGUCCGAUCAAGGCCAAGUCAUCAAUAAUCCUUAUCCAAAGUUCUUUAACACUUGUCAGAAAUGCAGUUUUGAUAAUCAGAAAUCCCGUUGUCAAUACGUUCCGUGCAAUCAAAAGUUAACAUCGGAAAUAUUUUGUUCAGAGAAUGCCGUCGCCUUGCAGCAAGAAACCAAAGAUAGUUCAGCCGUCCCCAUAGCAGUGUCCGUGGUGCUUGUUUUACUUGCCAUUGCUGGUUGUGUUAUAGCGAUCAUAAUAUAUAAAAAACGGAAAAAUGUUCUUCAAGAAAAAGAAACAAAAAGCGCCUACUGUCCACCAGCAAACAAGGAAUCUGAAAGAUGUUCUGAUUCAAAAACUUUUAGCAACACAAACUAUUUUGUUCUUCAGCAAUCUAACUCUACGUAUCAGUUGGCGGACAAUUCUAAACUUGAAUCUGAAAGUCCAUACAAUGAAGCUAAAGAAGGUACCUACGAUCAUCUUGGAGAGAAAAGGGUCAGAAAAAGACCUGAUGACGAUAUAUACAAUCACGCAUCGUCUGCAGAGUUAUCGGACCUGUCUGAUUAUGACGUAGCCAAUCGUAAACAUUUGAACAAUGAGGACAAUACUUACGAUCACACAGGUGUUGGGGACGAUUCAUACGGAAAAGUCAAAUCAGAUUUAUCUGAUUAUGACGUAGCCAAUCGUGAACACCGAAAUGAAGAAGACAGUACUUACGAUCAUACAGGUGUUGAUGUCGAUUCUCAUGGAACAUACAAUUAAUCUCAGAUGAAUGAAACUGAUUACUCCGAAUUAAGCUAACAUUUAAAGCAAACUUCAUCUACAAUUCCGCAAUAUGUCAUAGACUGUCCAUUAAACCACUGGACGUCAGCAAAGGCUUUAAUAGGAAUGAUUAAACUAAAAAUGAAUUAUUUGAUUUUAGUUAAUAAAAAAUUGUUUCUAUAU